AAUAUUAUUAACCGAGUGCGCAACAAUGACAGAAUUAAGAAAACCAUCAAAAUAGUAUGAUACUCCGUAUAAUAUUGGAAGAGUCAACUCGAACGCUUAUAGCUGAUCUGAACUGAACUGCACGAGGCAUUGUAAAAUGUGUGUUGCAUUGAUUUUUGACAGGCUGAUAAUUUUAUACAAGCUAAAGACGACCAUUUUUUAAAUAUAAUUUUACUUUAGUGCUCUACCAACAAUCAUAAAUUUACUUUAUCUACAAUAAACUAUGGUUUUAA